GACGAACGCUGGCGGCGUGCUUAACACAUGCAAGUCGAACGGAAAGGCCCUGCUUUUGUGGGGUGCUCGAGUGGCGAACGGGUGUGUAACACGUGAGUAACCUGCCCUUGACUUUGGGAUAACUUCAGGAAACUGGGGCUAAUACCGGAUAGGAGCUCCUGCUGCAUGGUGGUGGUUGGAAAGUUUCGGCGGUUGGGGAUGGACUCGCGGCUUAUCAGCUUGUUGGUGGGGUAGUGGCUUACGAAGGCUUUGACGGGUAGCCGGCCUGAGAGGGUGACCGGCGACAAUGGGACUGCGAGACGGCGCAGACGCCUACGGGAGGCAGCAGGGGGGAAUAUUGCACAAUGGGCGGAAGCCUGAUGCAGCAACGCCGCGUGCGGGAUGACGGCCUUCGGGUUGUAAACCGCUUUCGCCUGUGACGAAGAGUGAGUGACGGUAAUGGGUAAAGAAGCACCGGCUAACUACGUG
rnacentral:rRNA from 1 species